GGGACUGUAGCUCAUUGGAAGAGCGCCGAGCUUUGCGCCCGGAGGUAACAGGUUCGAUCCCUGUCUGACCCACCA
rnacentral:tRNA from 1 species